GCAUGUGAAGUGCUAUUAAAAAACGUGACGUAAUGCCGGCGGAUAUUACGUGGCUCUAAGCUUAGCUGCACGUGAGGCAAGUUGGUAACGUAAGUGGAAGUGAAUUCAAGCGCGGGAAUUAGAUGGUUGACAAAAUCAAAACAAUGGAGAGGUUAGAAAUUGGAACGAAACGGUGAACUGGACCAGCUCCAUGGCAUGGGGACUAUAAAUCAAAACUUCACUCUACCGUCAGUCUCAAGUGUGUGGUUUAGCACAGUGCAAUAUCUCACCAAACAAACAGAAGACAACAACAUGUACAUGGGCGUCAGCUUCCACGACACCACCUUUAACUAAAUAUGGUGGACAAUUGGUGUAUACAACAUCCACUUGGGACACAUUGAUCAUGAUGUUUGCAGAGACUAUUUAAACAUGCAAAUACAGCCCUUCAACAGACAUAAACUGGGUAGAACUGAGUUGGACUGUAUUGAAAUCAAGACUGGCCCAACAUUCAAACAUUAAUAUUUAAUGGGAGAGAAAACAGAUUAUACACGAGAUAUGAUGGUGCCAGGAUUUAACUACUACCGGUAAACGUGAAGUACAUGUCAUUUGCAUAGGAGUCGAAGGAGUGAAUGAUCUAUUCGAGAACGUUUCGAGAAUAGCUAGCUUGGUUCCACUUCAACAGUGUGACCUUAGCACUAAUACCAUCAUAGUGUCUAUAUCUAACAUAACCAUCAUCACCAUCACCACCAUCACCAUCAUCAUCAUCAUCAUCAUCAUCGUCAUCCUCAUCAUCAUCAUGGCGAUAGUUUUAUGCAACAGGCAACUGGGUUUCUGCAAUGCCCCAAGUUUUCAGAAUACUGUUGAAAUUAUUCUUGUCAUUUGGGCUCAACCAACAUUUUAUUAUUGAGCAAGAUAUACAGACAGGUAGUUUACAGUAAUGCAAACAAGCAGAAUGAUUGAUUAUUUUGGAGUUACUGGGCUUGCAUACUUAAUACUGGUAUUUGCUCAGGGAUUACUUGUCUGGCUUGUUAUUGAAUGCACAUGACUAACAAACACCAAGCUUAAUACUUUUGCAGAUGUAAUUUGGUAUUAUUUUUUGCAUUAUACUUUAAAAAUCAUCCAAACUCAGUACUUAAAAUUGCCCAAAAUGUCAAACAGGGAAUAUUUCUUCCAAUCAGCUGCUUAAAACUAUGCAAUCACAAUCAUUACCUGUGCACUAGUAUUGGGAAUCAGAAACCAAAUCCACUACUGAUUAUCGGAAGACUUGUGGUGAACAAUUAUCAAUUACAAUCGAAAUAUAUACAUUUUUAAUGUAAUCACCAAUUUUAGGGUUUUCCCCACAUUUUUUUAUAAUAAUUUUUAAAACUAAUACU